GACGUAGGGCGCGAGCGUUGUCCGGAUUUAUUGGGCGUAAAGAGCUCGUAGGCGGCUUGUUGCGUCGGCUGUGAAAUCUCGUGGCUUAACUGCGGGCUUGCAGCUGAUACGGGCGGGCUAGAGUUCGGUAGGGGAGACUGGAAUUCCUGGUGUAGCGGUGAAAUGCGCAGAUAUCAGGAGGAACACCGGUGGCGAAGGCGGGUCUCUGGGCCGAUACUGACGCUGAGGAGCGAAAGCGUGGGGAGCAAACAAG
rnacentral:rRNA from 1 species